AAUUUCAUUCUCAGAUUCCAUCCAUUAAGGGUGGAACGAUACAGAGAAGAUUAGCAUCGCUUCUGCGCAAAGAUGAUACUCAAAAUCGUGAAGCAUUCCACCUUUUU
rnacentral:snRNA from 1 species